UACGUAGGUGGCGAGCGUUAUCCGGAAUUACUGGGUGUAAAGGGUGUGUAGGCGGGUCUGCAAGUCAGAUGUGAAAGGUUAUGGCUCAACUGUAACACUGCAUCAGAAACUGCAGGUCUUGAGAGUGGGAGAGGUAAGCGGAAUUCCUGGUGUAGCGGUGAAAUGCGUAGAUAUCAGGAGGAACACCGGUGGCGAAGGCGGCUUACUGGACCACAACUGACGCUGAUACACGAAAGCGUGGGGAGCAAAC
rnacentral:rRNA from 1 species